rnacentral:rRNA from 1 species
GAUGAACGCUGGCGGCGUGCCUAAUACAUGCAAGUCGAGCGAACAGAUGAGAAGCUUGCUUCUCUGAUGUUAGCGGCGGACGGGUGAGUAACACGUGGGUAACCUACCUAUAAGACUGGGAUAACUCCGGGAAACCGGGGCUAAUACCGGAUAAUAUUUUGAACCGCAUGGUUCAAUAGUGAAAGACGGUUUCGGCUGUCACUUAUAGAUGGACCCGCGCCGUAUUAGCUAGUUGGUAAGGUAACGGCUUACCAAGGCGACGAUACGUAGCCGACCGUAGAGGGUGAGCGGCCACACUGGAACUGAGACACGGUCCAGACUCCUACGGGAGGCAGCAGUAGGGAAUCUUCCGCAAUGGGCGAAAGCCUGACGGAGCAACGCCGCGUGAGUGAUGAAAGUCUUCGGAUCGUAAAACUCUGUUGUUAGGGAAGAACAAAUCUGUUAGUAACUGAACAAGUCUUGACGGUACCUAACCAGAAAGCCACGGCUAACUACGUGCCAGCCGCCGCCGUAA